CCCUUAGAUGUUCUGGGCCGCACGCGCGCUACACUGAUACGUUCAGCGAGUAUAUAACCUUGAUUGGAAGAUCUGGGUAAUCUUUUGAAUGCGUAUCGUGCUAGGGAUAGAUUAUUGCAAUUAUUAAUCUUGAACGAGGAAUUCCUAGUAAACGCAAGUCAUCAGCUUGCAUUGAUUACGUCCCUGCCCUUUGUACACACCGCCUGUCGCACAAACCGAUUGAAUGAUUCGGUGAAAAUUUUGGACAUCGAGAGUGGUGAUUAAUUUCGCUGCUCUUAAAUGGAAAGAAUUUAAACCUAAUUAUUUAGAGGAUUGUGAAGUCAUAACA
rnacentral:rRNA from 1 species